AUAUCAGUCAUGCAUAGCAUAUCAAUAAGCGGAGGAAAAGAAACUAACAAGGAUUCCCUUAGUAACGGCGAGUGAAGCGGGAAGAGCUCAAAUUUGAAAUCUUCAAGGUUUUACCUUGACGAAUUGUAGUUUAAAGAAGUGUUUUCUGUUGAAGUUUUGGUAAAAGUUCUUUGGAAUAGGACAUCAUAGAGGGUGAGAAUCCCGUAUUUGACCAUUACUUUCAGCUUUGUGAUACACUUUCAAAGAGUCGGAUUGUUUGGGAAUGCAGUCCAAAAUGGGUGGUAAAUUUCAUCUAAAGCUAAAUAUUGGCGAGAGACCGAUAGCGAACAAGUACCGUGAGGGAAAGAUGAAAAGAACUUUGAAAAGAGAGUUAAACAGUACGUGAAAUUGUCAAAAGGGAAGCGUUUGACACCAGUGUUGUUUUCUCGAAAAUCAAUUAAAAAGAGUUGGAUUUUGUGUUGUAUUGACCUUUAUCAGGCUUUCUUCACUCUUUUCCUAGCUUUUUUUAAUGCACUUUUCGUUUAACAAGUCAACAUCAGUUUCUUUUGUUGUAAAAAGGUCAUUGGAAGGUGGCUUUCUCUUCGGAGAAAGUGUUUAUAGCCUUUGACUCAUGCAAUCGGAGAGACUGAGGUCUGCAGCGUAGAUCCUUCGGGGUUAGAUACAUUUGUGCUAAGUUAUAGCUUUUCAUAGACAACUUGUUGACUAUGUUUAGUCUUGUAGCUUACUCGCUUAUGCUAUUUUACCUACGCUUAGGAUGUUGAGCUCUAUCACACACAG
rnacentral:rRNA from 1 species